GCCGACGUGGCGCAAUUGGCAGCGCGGCUUCUUCGUAAGGAGACGGUUGCAGGUUCAAUUCCUGCCGUCGGCACCA
rnacentral:tRNA from 1 species